UUUGUUACUUCAAACCAAUCGGACUUCGGUCUGACAUCAAGUGAUAUUGAACAAUUUAGCUGAUCGCACGGGCUAAGAACCGGCGACAUAUCCUUCAAAUGUCUGCCUUAUCAACUUUCGAUGGUAGAUUAUGCGCCUACCAUGGUUGUAACGGGUAACGGAGAAUCAGGGUUUGAUUCCGGAGAGGGAGCCUGAGAAACGGCUACCACAUCCAAGGAAGGCAGCAGGCACGCAAAUUACCCACUCCCGGCACGGGGAGGUAGUGACGAAAAAUAACAAGCUGGUCUCAAUGAGUUCCAGCAUUGUAAUGGGAACAAUUUAAAUCUUUUAUCGAGGAUCUAUUGGAGGGCAAGUCUGGUGCCAGCAGCCGCGGUAAUUCCAGCUCCAAUAGCGUAUAUUAAAGUUGUUGCGGUUAAAAAGCUCGUAGUUGGAUCUAGGAUUAGGGCUACGGUCGUUCAGCUUGGACGUACUGUAUGCCCGACUCCUUUUCUCUAGUAUUCGAUUGUUGCUCUUAAAUGAGUGACUUUAGUUGCUGGAACUUUUACCUUGAAAAAAUUGAAGUGCUCAAAGCAGGUU
rnacentral:rRNA from 1 species